CUCCAAGAUAAUAUUUCACUGGAACGUACAUACUGCUUUUGAAACUGAAUGAGUAGUAGGAUGUAAAAUCUGUUGGUGGCAUCUACCAACUCACUUGCCUGGGCAAGGUUUGGGACGUCAACUUCAUAUGCUAAAAAAUCUCUAUUCAGGUGCAAGGUGUCAUAGGGUUGAUAUUCAAAGCAAUUUAAAUAGCUGGAAAUCAGUAUAAUGUAUAUAUUUUUUUCUAUUAAAUUACCAUAAUAAACUGUAAAUAAAGAUGGGAAUCUAUUUUUGAAUUGUGAUUAAAUCUCAUGAAAUACAACCCAUAGCAAACAAAUGUUGAAAUGUGAUGUAUUGAUGAACCCCUCCUCACUACAGUAGUUUCAAUUUUAGCUACCCACAUUCUCACAUGCGCAGUUGAAACUGCAGUCAGUCACUGAAAGAAGUCGUUGGAAUCCAGUGGUCAUAAGACGAAGUCAGAACUGUUUGCCUGAAAUAAAAGUAGUUAUUGAACUUCAGUUUGCAUAUCAGUGAUGUCGGAGAUGGGCUCUUUCAAGAAGUUGGAUGACACAAAAUUUACCAUUUUAAAAGCAUUGCGUGCCUGAGGCAAUUGUAACCCACCUAUAAGGUUACUGAAGUGCAACACUCUACUCUGCCUGCAGGUGGCCCAUACACCCCAGGUAAUUCACCUAAAAACAAGCACGCUUUUUCUCCGGUGAAGAAGUUGCUAGAAAGCAAACAAGGACUGGUUAAAAGCUGUGUAAGAGAGAGUUAAGCCGCAUGACAGCGAGCUUCUCAAGAUACCUCCGAUUGGUUUGUAGAAAGGGAUAGACCACCUGAAUCUGACCACUAGGUCAGUGGCCAGCUGUGGCAUCUUUGGACCAGCAUCAUCCUGUGCCUUCAUUUGUGAUACAGAUAAGAACAUAGGUUCUCGGUGAACUUUGCAGGAUUGUCAGCAAAGACAACACUGCUUACAUUAAGGAGGUGAAGGAGCGCUGGGACACCUUCCAGAGUCUAACGGUCUUUUACAGUAUUAUGAAAAAGGUGAUGAAACCACAGAUGAAAUUUAACACAGAGGAACGAGCCAUCAACAUGUUGAAGUCCCUGCCAAGAAGUUGGGAUGAGAGUGUGAGGCCCUGUUUCAUGUCCUGAUGCCUUCAGAGGAUCCAAACACUUAUCUGCAGAGGAGGCCCCUUUCCUGCCCUGUCCUGAUUGUGGAUAAAGAAAACUGCAUGGUGGCAAUCGGGACCACCCCAGUAGCAACCUUCCCCAAGAACCAUCUGCAUGAGGGAGCCCUUUAUUUGAUGGUGUAUUAUUAUGCCCUGCACAUGACCUACUCAAAGUGCAUUGCUACUCUGCUCUCAGUUCUUCAAACAGAGAUACUGCAAGAUGAGAUCCAUGAGAGGGACACAACUUCAUCCUACAGGAGGGCCAUGGCUGAGUGGAAGAAGUUUAUUGGAGAGGCUUGUCUUCGAAGCGCUUGCAUUAUGUUCCUUUUUUCUGAGUUUGUUGGCUGAUCUUGUAUGAGAAGAUGUAUCUCCGUUUAUAGACGUUACUAAAUAAGGCCUACGUCAUUUAAGUUUUUUAUUUUGAAACUCAAGGACGCUAUCCUCCUUUCUCCAUUGGAUUUUGCCCUUAUGAGCAUCUCUCACCCCAGACUGACUAAUCUACAAGCUGUUUUAUCAUUUAAUCCUUAUUUGCUGAUAUCAACAAUUCAAUUCUGUAUAUCCACAAUUCAAUUCUUGAUAUCAAUAUUUGCUGUACAUUCUUGAUAUCAAGAGUUGAAUUGGUGAUCUCAAGAGUUGAAUUCUUAAUAUAAACAGUUCAUGCAAACCGUUUUUACAUUUAUUUAAUAAUUAAAUUGUGGAUAUCAACAAUUCAGUUUUUGAUAUCAAAAUAUGUGCACCUAUUUCUGAUGUCAACCAUUGAAUUGUUGAUAUAAAAAAAUUCCUUUUUUGAUAUCAAGGAUUGAAUUGCUGAUAUUGGCAAUUAAAGAUUAAAUGUUAAAACGGCUUGCCAUACCUGCCUACCUCAUUUCAUUCAGACACACCUCACUUCGGACUCUUUGCUGACGUGAGCGUGGAAGUACCUACUGUACCACCACAAGAGUAGCUGCUGCACUAAACACUUUUUUUUUGGAGGGGGGAAUAUAGUCUUAAUGAGAAUGUUAUCAGGGCAUAUUAUCACCCACCCCUACUUAAUGUAAAAAAAAAAGAGUAGUUUGAGACUCUUGCCAAACAUUGUGUGUUGAAUCAUUGAAUAAAUGACCAUCUGGGGGAA